rnacentral:rRNA from 2 species
GAAAAGAAACUAACAAGGAUUCCCCCAGUAACGGCGAGUGAAGCGGGAAGAGCUCAAGCUUAAAAUCUCCAUACUUGUAUGGCGAAUUGUAGUCUAUUGAGGCUGUUGUCAGCAUCGCGAUUGGGGACAAGUCCCUUGGAAAAGGGCAGCAUGGAGGGUGAUACUCCCGUCUCUGCUCCAAUCUGCGGUGUGUACGAUACGCUUUCUUUGAGUCGAGUUGUUUGGGAAUACAGCUCAAAGUAGGUGGUAAAUUCCAUCUAAAGCUAAAUAUUGGUGCGAGACCGAUAGCGAACAAGUACCGUGAGGGAAAGAUGAAAAGAACUUUGAAAAGAGAGUUAAAGAGUACCUGAAACUGUUGAAAGGGAACCGUAUCGUUUCCAGUGUUGUAUCCUAUGCAUAUUUCAUUCGUGGAGUAAUUUACGGGUGCCCUGUGCAUGGGUGUGACGUCAGGGUCAGUUUGUAUGCUGCGGGAGAUGGUCAGUGAGGAGGUGCGUCACUUCGGUGAAAGUUAUAUCUCGCUGUCUAGUAGCCGUGGUUGAGACUGAGGUGCCUACAACAUGCCUUAAGGUUCUAUGUUGUCUCGUGUUGGUGACUGCUUUGAUAGCUUGCUAUGUCUGUGGUUUAUUAAUGCGAUUGAUGAUGUGGAUAACUUUUGCUGUUCGGGACUCUGGCGA